GGAUGUAGCUCAAUCGGUGAGAGCCACGGCCUUAUAAGCCGUAAGCCCUGACAAGGUAAAUGUGGGUUCGAUUCCCACCAUCC
rnacentral:tRNA from 1 species